AGCUCUGACAGAAGAACCUUCUACUUCUGCUGGUUAAUGACACUAGAAGUGAAGCUCAGGUAUUAAUUCAUUAUUGCUCACACCUUGUUGUCAGUGCAUGAUAGGGAACUGUUACAGGUGCAGUUACUAGAUGUGUUGUCUUUUAACAUCAGGAAAUUGCACACAAAAUGGCAGGGUUAGAAGAACAUCGGUCAAAAGCUGAAGUCGGAUGUUGUUAAACCAUAUGCUCCAUCCUGCACCAGUAAUACAAUCCCACAACCCCAGGUGCUAUGCACUCUCUGUCCUAUCAAACCAGAGCUAUAUAAAGAUUUCAACUUAAAUUUCAGAAAGUGUUUGGACUGGAUCAGCAAGGUGCUCCUGGCUGCAGAGGAUUCAGGGCAGCUCCACCUCAUCAGGCUAAAGCAUUGAAAGGAGUCUGAGCUACCCACAAAGGAAUAAAAGAGACCAGGAUAGAUACCCAUUUGCAUUCAACCCUCGGUCCUCGAGAGAGUCGGAAAUGCCGUCAGAUCUGAUGCGUGCUGCAGCAAAUAAUCACCCUGUCCAGAUCAUCUCCUUGUGCCAUCUAAUCUCUGAGCAGUGACACAGGCCUGGGGUCCAGCGAGAGUCCCCACGCUGGUGCCAGGAGUUCGGGGGGCUCCUCGGCCGCGCGCCUCUUCGGAGAGCUCGGCUGCGUCGUCUCACCCCUCUGUCGCUCGCUUGUCUCACCACCCAUCCGCGGGAGGGACGACGCCUUCCAGCGAGGUGAGGAGAAUUCAGUAGUCGAUGCUGUGCUGUGCUUUGAGGACAUCAAUGUGGAGGUAAAAAGGGGGUGGCAGCAGAGGUGGUGCUUGAAAUGGAAAAUUUCCCAUUCGCAUAACUAUUUUUUUCUCCGCUUUUAAAAAAAGUACAUUCAAAUGGCUCAUCAAAGGUAUCAGUGUUGCAACACCCGGGAAAGAGUAGCUGCAAUGGGAAGGUGAGAGCCAGAAACCUCCUCCUGGAGGAGCAGAUUUGCAGUGAGAAGGACAGAAAUGCAAAUCUGAAAUCAAUCCAUCUCUCCCUCUCCCUUGUACACUUUGGCCAUUGCUAACAGUUUAAAGCGAAGUCAGUCACUGAGGACAAGAAGAGAGGCUUGCAAAUCCAUUUACUACUUUCUGCACUAAAGGAGAAGUAGCGAAUUUAUUGUGGAAAUGCAGUAAGCGCACAGACGAGGUGUUCCACAUUAGCAGUAGAGGAUAGCUCAAAAACAUCAGAGCAAACCUUUGAAUAAAGAGCGAGUACGCAGACCUCGGGAGCCGGAGGUAUCAAAGCGCUCCGUACAUCAAUCCUCCCUCCGCUGCCCGGCUCUGCGUUUUCCUCAAAGGCAUGGAGCUGUCUCCACCACUUCUCCUUCUGAGCCCCAUUUUGUUUGCAGCCCCAUCGUGCUGGCAGCAAACCCCCACUGUUGUCCCCCCCGCACCGAAACCCUCUCUGGCACAGUGGGGAUGGGGAGCUGUGUCCGAACAGGGCUCCUUCCCAGCGUGGAAUUUCAGAGUCAACAGGUCUUUACGUACGCUUCUAUUACGAGCAACCAAGUAAUGUUGACAAUCAGAAAUACAGAAAAGGGCUGACUUUGCGUGUGCGCAGGCUGGUCGCGGGCAGUGAAGCCUCUUUACAGAAGUCCAAGGAUUUAGAGGAAAGCAGAAAUAUUCCUGCUUCUGACACUCACUAGAUUACGGUUGUGGCUCGCAUGAGGCGCCUUGACUGUGCACGCGUGUGCAUCUGCAGGACAUGAGGUGCAAAACUCACUUUGCUAUUGGGAAGAAGAGGUGUCAUAUUUUGAAUCUUUUUUUUCCUCUUUUUGCAUGUGCAUGGCUAUAGAGAGAGAGAUCUAAACGCACCUGUGUGUUUGUGCAUGCGUAUGUACACAUAUUCAGUUAUUUCUUGAUGUCCAGUGGCUGCUGCUUCUCACAUCUAAGGCUGCAAUACUUGAAAGUAAAAUGGCAGCAUAAUACUGACGUGAAGGAAUAAUAAGCUAUGGCAUUUAAGAUCCUUUCUGUAAUAUUUUGUUUGACAGGACAGCUUUCAGUUUAUGAUAUUAUUUUUAUCCAAAAUCUGUUUUGCGUUCAAAGUAAGUUUAUUAUACUUUAUCUAUCAGAGUUGGUAAAAACAGCAAAUCACAGAAUGAAUUACCUUGCAACACCCCAAGGUAUAAAUAGGAUUCAGAAAUAAGCAUCAAGGGGUGAUGCAAUUAAUCCCGCUCACGAGGAAAGGCUGUCAUUAGUCAUUUGCUGCUUCAGCACUGGUGACUCUCAAGGUGUACAAAUCUCCCGUUAGAUACGUCUCGUGUUCUGCAGAUGGCCAUUUUGUCUUCUCGCUGCAUGCACUGGAACAUGCCCAAGUACACAGAAAUGAGAGGAGUGAUUGUUAGGGCUGAAUUUUUUUGUUCAAUUUCAAUGGGAUUUUUUUCCUUUGCGUGGCGCACAUCCUGGGCUUUGAUAAAUGAGUCUCACCAGACACUGUGGUAAGCCAGCCUCUGCUAAUAUUCAUUAUGCAGAACCCGCCAGGAAAUGGUCUGAGUCGGGGAAAUGGAAAACCUUUAAAGGGAAAAAAAGAAACAUUUUUCUUCCAGGGAAAUUACUUUAUAAUACUUAACAUUUCUGGGAUGUUUUGCAAUAUUUAAAAACAGGAAUUUCAGCGUUGUAUGUGCUAGUCAAAACUUUGUAGCAAAGCUCUAAUGAUUGCAUCAUGUGCAAAGAAACAGACAAGCCCCUUCUUUAGAUCACAGAAAAGGUGUUCAAAAGUGACUUAGCAGCCUGAUGUUACAGGCUCUGAAAGGGGCCACCAAGCCGUAAGCUGGGUGUGGACAUGCCGCGUGCCACUGACACCACAGCCGCUGCAGUGGGCAAGUUUUUGUCCCGUGGGAAAUGACUGGGAGCCUAUGCCUCUUCUAGUGGCUCUGCGGGACCCCAAGAGCAUCCGCACCGCAGUUGCCGUGGGGUAGACGACAGCUUGUUGCUCUCGCCCAUCCUGCCGGUAAUUUGUUUCUCGGGCUUUUCUUUUCUUUUUGCAUCCUUUAACUUAGACACCUAUGCACAUAAAUCUCUCCACAAAUUAAGAAUUAAGCUGCUCAGAAAGGAGUUAUGCAACAUACUGGCUUCAGCUUAAAGUGCUCCCGUCUUCUCCCUUGACCCUGGUCAUUAAUUCUUGGUGCUUCACUGCCAGUUUGACAACCUCUCUGUUUUACCAGUGACUCAAACUAUUAACUAGAUUGCUGAAAUUAUUUGAAUUAAAAUCCCCUUUGGGUGGUUAUUUUAAAUCCAGUCAGGUAAGCGCCCCGUGAACAGUGCUACCAGCACAGCCAGGAGCACAGCACGCGUGUGCGGAGGGCAGGACCUCCGUACGCCGGUGUCACCGCUGCAGACCCUGUGGCGUGUUUUUAGGCCUCGUCCUCGCCAUUGCAGUGCUAUUUGUCACUGCCACGCAACCAAACCCCUGGUUGAGUGCUAGGGGCUAUGUAUCAGCAAAACGCAGUGCCAUUUACCGUGGGGGACCGCUGCAGGGGUAGUUACACUGGCAGGAAAGCAGUGCUUUUGUAAAACUCAGGUUAACGAAGCACUUGGGCACAGGCUUAAAACUCAGCGACUUCAGUAGGACACCAGCUGGUGUUUAAAGUGCUUUGCUGAAUUGAGGCACAAAAAAUUAAUGCUGAACUGCUGAAGAUUCACAUGAAAUUCAUACCCCUGCCCCCAGCAUGCCUCUUUCAAACGCAUCUGUGGCAUGACGGCUGUCUUUGGCUUUUGUAGUUCUUUGCAUGGCUUUUAACCAAUUGCACGUACUUUGUAUCCUCAUCACAAGCCGCGGGCAGAAAGAGAGGUUCCUGUGUGCACAUCACAGGCCGGGAGAGCAUCCCCGUGUUCAGAAUAGGAGACGGGUUUAAUUUCUGCGUUCUGUAGGAGCGGCACAUUUCCCGGUGAUUUUGCCACCUCUGUGGCAAGCUGCAUGCUUUCUUCAUGAGCUCUCCCUGGAGUGCCCAGAACUGGCGUGCAAGUCUCAACGCCAGAAGAUGUUGACCGUGGAAAUCUUAAAAAUAUUAUAAACAGAAAAAAAUCAUUGUUACUGCACACAAGCGUAAUGAAAAUUAAUACGCAUACCUAACUGAUAUCCGUGGGCCUGAAGAUGCUUUUAAGAACUUUCACUUUGACCUUGUAACGCUCACAUGCCUGUAUUUAGGCACGCACAGCGGCCUCUUAAGCUCCUUUGGCGAUGGGGCUGGCCGUGCAGCCGGGUGGGCUGGAGGGGAGGGCUCGCCGCAGCAGACCCAGGCUAGCCCGGCUGGAGCGGAGGGGCAGCCGCAGACCUGCGUGGAUUCUGCUUCAGCGGCAACGGAGGUUUCUGCUGGCUCUUUCCUUGCUUUUGAUAUCAGAUGUUCCGGUCUCCCCUUCCGCUGGGAAGUUCCUAAUAGGGCGCGCAGAACUGGUAGGGUUAUUACAUUAGCAAAGGCAGGCAAGUGGAGCUUAGUAUUAGCAUAUAGUUUAAGUGGUUUGUUUACGACUCUUUAUUUUUCUAACGCACAAAUAUUUGGGAAACACUUCGUCACUUGUUACAGUAGUAAGUGGUUCAACAAAGAACAAGAAAGACAGAUCCCAAUUCAGUAGUUCAUCCAUAUUCAAUGUUUUUCUUCUGAAUCAAGGCUAUAGUUUCUGCCCCAAAGACCUUGUACUCAGGGGACAGAAGGCAUAACUGGCACAGGCUGCACACAUAUCAUUCCCUACCAGGAACAACUGCAAAAACCACCAACUGCAAUCCAUUUCUACAAUCCGGGUUGCAUCAGAUUAAUGAAUAAGAUGGUUCUUUUUAACAGAUUUUGUUGAGCCAUUGUAAAUUUGUGUGUACUUGAAUCUGUGUGAAUAUGCUCAAACUGAUUUAAAUCUCAUUUACAUUACUUUUGCUUUCCUUGCAACCCACACAGCCUGUUUUAAAUAGAGAUAACUGUGACUAGAACGGGUUUGCAUCCAUCCAGUGUGUUGUCCUUCGAGUGCUAUGACACUUCCAAAAAGUCCUCUAGUAAUACGUGUGACAAUGAGAUUUGAAAUUCCUACAUUUCCAGGAUUCCUACAGUAAACAAAAGAAAACAUAAAAAAAUGCCCACAGCAAACCAUUUUCAUUUAAAGGGCAGAUUUUCAGAUAUUAGGAAGGGAAAGCAAGAAUAUAAUCCUUUUUUUGUGAGUGGAGUUAGGUCAUCUGUAAAAGCCUCUCAGAAUAUUAUCUUCCAAGCUAAUCGCUGUAUUGACAUUUGCCUGUUUCAUUCGAGCUCAGUUUUUACUGCAUUGCUGAGGUUGGACCUGACUCAUCUGUCAUGGUCAAGGACUAGUUUGUAAUUUCAUGACUGUAGAAUAAAAAUUCUCUCUCUCUCUCUCUCUUUUCGUUUAACUGGUUGGGUUGAAAUGGUGUUUGCAGAAUUCCCAGUAUUGGUGGGUUUUGACUUGACAGUUCCUAGCUAUGUUUUUUCUCAUAGAUUUUUAUUUUAUUCAUUUGGCAAAAUGACGGUAAUUUGAAAAAAAGAGCCAUGUUAAAAGACUUUUGAAAAGAGAUAAUUUUACAAAGUUACAUACACACAUUUGCUGACAUAUGUGGCCUAUAAUAGAUGCAAGGGCUAACAAAGGGAGAAGAAAUGUUAUCUAAAACUGCAAAGAAAAAACAAUUCAGGCCAGAACUAAGUCAAUUAUCCAUGUAAUAAACCUCUGUGGCUGCUGACUGAGCAGAUAAGUUUAUGGUCUCUACAUACGCUGACAGUAAACUUUGCGGCAAAAGGGAAGUGUCAGAAAGUUUUAUGCACAUGCAGGAAACAGAUCAGCAUCUGAGAAGAGACAAAAGUUGUUUGCAGAAUCCUUCUUUACCCAGGGUAAGAAUUCUUCUGGCAUCACACUAAUAAAUCCAGAAAUGCUUUGCAUCAUUAUUAUGUAAAUGUAUUUAUUCCCUUCCAGAGUGUUUCUAAGGUUUGCUGGAUGCACUACAGACACCUUUUUACACCCACAUGAAUGUUAUCUGGAUUUGGCAGCGGAGUUGUGAUGGAACACUUUAACUCUAUUCACACAGUGGUGACCUAUUUUGUCUGAAAGUGAUUUCCCUUGUGCAUCACUGUCUAUUUUCUGUCCAGUUGCUAAGUGGUAUUUUGCCACUUUUUUCUUUUUUUAAGGAAGAUGUUUGUUUAGGAUUGUGGAAGGGUAACAGACAAAACACAGUAUGAUUUUUUUCCAUAACAUGUGAAUAAAAAUACUGAAACAUU